AUCAGUGGUGGGGAAGGGAGGCCGAGGAGGAAGCGGAUCCGCUGCCGCGCAGCUAAAUCGCAUCGAACUAUCCGCUUCGUCUCCCUCCGCCGCUCUCGGGGCCUAAACGGGAGCGGCUGGGAAGGCGUCACAGGCUGGGCUGGGGCGGAAGUGGAGGCGGAGGGAGACUUCGGCGGCCGCAGGGCCUUGGGUUCUCGCGAAGAGGCCCUGGUGGGCGCAAGGCAGGGGGAGGGGGAGGAGGAGGAGCCCGCGGCCCGGGUGGCGGCGGCAGCCGAGUUCCCCGUAGGGCCCCGCCUCGGAGCGGGCGGCGGUGGAGGAGGAGACUGAGGAGCAGGAUGGCGGCCUCGGCCCUGUACGCCUGCACCAAGUGCACCCAGCGCUAUCCCUUCGAGGAGCUCUCCCAGGGCCAGCAGCUGUGCAAGGAAUGUCGGAUUGCGCAUCCUAUUGUAAAAUGUACUUACUGCAGAUCAGAAUUUCAACAAGAGAGCAAAACUAACACAAUUUGUAAGAAGUGUGCUCAAAAUGUGAAGCAGUUUGGCACCCCUAAGCCUUGCCAGUACUGUAACAUAAUUGCAGCAUUUAUUGGUACAAAGUGUCAGCGUUGCACAAAUUCAGAAAAAAAAUAUGGACCACCGCAGACCUGUGAACAGUGCAAACAACAAUGUGCUUUUGAUCGGAAGGAGGAAGGAAGAAGAAAGGUUGAUGGGAAGUUAUUAUGCUGGCUCUGUACUUUAUCAUACAAGAGAGUUUUACAGAAGACAAAAGAACAAAGGAAGAGCCUGGGAUCUUCACAUUCGAAUUCAUCAUCUUCAUCUCUUACUGAGAAAGACCAGCAUCAUUCAAAACAUCAUCACCACCAUCAUCACCAUCACCAUCGUCACAGCAGUAGCCAUCACAAAAUCAGCAAUCUGAGUCCAGAACAAGAGCAGGGACUAUGGAAACAGAGCCAUAAAUCCUCUGCAGCAAUUCAGAAUGAAACUCCAAAGAAAAAGCCCAAAUUGGAAUCUAAGCCAUCUAAUGGAGAUAGUAGCUCUAUAAAUCAGUCAGCAGAUAGUGGGGGAACAGACAAUUUUGUCCUUAUAAGUCAACUGAAAGAAGAAGUGAUGUCGCUUAAACGUCUCUUACAGCAGAGAGACCAGACCAUUUUAGAAAAAGAUAAAAAGUUAACUGAAUUAAAGGCAGACUUUCAGUACCAGGAGUCAAACUUGAGAACAAAGAUGAACAGUAUGGAAAAAGCUCACAAAGAAACUGUGGAACAACUUCAGGCCUUUUUACAUAAUUUAUCAGCAAAUAAACUUAUUAGUGACGUGAUUAGGAGACUGAAUAUAUAAGUGCAGAUUGAAAAUUAGCUGCUAAAGAAUUAAAAGGAAAAGCAUCUUUCAAUACCUGAGGCCAAAAACAGAGAACUACUCAAACAGGUUGCAGCCUUGUCAAAGGGUAAAAAGUUUGACAAAAGUGGAAGCAUAUUAACAUCCCCUUGAGAAAGUAGUUGUUCAUUAGUGUUUUUGCUGAAAAUGUAAAAUUUGAAAAAAAAAAUUCUGUGAAGCUCUUAAAUUCUGUGUAGUGGGAAAAUAUUUUUGCACACCAUGUCAGUUGGUGUGUUUCCUCUUCACUUUUGUAACUGAUAAUACAGCAUUUUUUAAGUUGUAAAACAUUCAAAUGGAACUUCAACUGGUUUGAAGUAACUUUUUAAUUAUUUGAUAUCCAGGAACUUUUUUGCCAGCAAUAGUAUUAAAGGGUCGUAAAGGAGCACGUGAGUAGUGCGCUUUACAAAAUGCAACAUGCAAUAACGGGGGCGGUGUGGCCGUAAGAAGUCAGCGGAGCGGGGCGUUUGUUUUUUUUGUUUUACACUACGCUAAUUUCAGAUAAACAGUUUUCAAUUUAGAAAUACAGAAACUUUUCAACAAAAAUUGCGAACACUGGUUUUUUGGUAAUUGUGUUUAUACUUUUCAUCAACAUCAAUUUAGGAGGGAAUCAUGGUGCUUUUAUUAAAUGGACUUCAGAAUAUAUGUAAAUAUGUUUUUACAAGUUACAUCAUUAACAUCUCUUAGUAAACUAGUAUUUUCAUUAUUGGCAUAGGAAUUCAUGUUUAUUGUACAGUAUCCAAGGUAAAAUGUGUUUUGUUUUGUAAAAACUACUGUAGAUUUUUACUUACAAGUGCCUUUUUGCCACCUAAUGUUUUUAUUUAUAGGAAUGCUGAUCUUUUUGUACAUACAGUUGUUUUAAAAUCAUGUUUAAUAAAUGUUUGUAUAUAACUGCAUAUGUACAGAAGCCUAUUUCAAAAGGAAAUCAAAGUUGCUAGUAAAACGUUUGAGGUUGCAUUGAGAACGGUUAAUGCAUAUAGACUUUAGAUGAUUUUGUGGUUGGUUUCUGUGUGAUACGGGAAGCUGUUGGUCAUUGAAUUCAUUGAGUUAUGUCAAAAUACUUCCCCAAAGAUUUCAUAUUAAAUCACUUCUGAUAGAGUAACUUUAUUUUUUAUGUCAUAUGGCUUCAUGUUCAUAUUUUGUGGGUUACAUGUUUUACUUUAUUUUUCUUUUAUUAAAAUUCUAAAAAAAUUAAUAGUUUUUCUGCAGUGGUCCAUAUAUCUGCUUUCCCUAUAGUAUAUGGUUAUCUAAGUUAAUAUUUAUGUACACCAUACUUAAUUUGUAAGUUUAAAGCAAAUCUGGAAAAGUUAAAUAUCUUUUAAAUCAAUCUGUGAUUAUCUUUUAAUAAAUUGGAAUCUACUGUAAGAUUCAGGCACUAUUUAUAAGAAAAUUAUAUCAGAGUCUUUAAAAUUGUCUAUAAAAGGUAAAGGUAGGAUGGGGAUAGAUUAGGAGAAGUUAUUGACUAAUUAUAUUCUGAUCCAGUGGUUUUAGCCUGUAGUCUAGAAUUGAUCUCCUACUUAAUAAAUGCCAGUUCAGACUUUCAGUUCAGUGUUAAAGCAGCAGGCAUUGCUGGAUGUACUCUGUAGAGUAGGUUAGCUCCUUCUCUUAGGAGUUUAUGGACAAGGAUAAAUUUGUUUCAAGUAAACUGUUAAUAAGUUUAUCACAUUUGAAGAUACGUGUUUAAACAAGCAUGGAUUGUGAAUAGCCUAUCAAAGACUCUCCUCAGAACACAGGGUAACGGUAAUGUUUUUAAUAUAAUUCGUGUUUCAGUAGGUUAUCCCUAUAGUGAUUCGUUACAAAGUGAUAUCAGAUAAUUCUUUGUCCAAUUUGAAAACAUAAUUCAGGGUAAUUUUCCAGGGACAGCGAAAUACUGAAUCAGUCAGUCAUGGAAAAACUUAACCAGUUUAUUUUUAUGAGGUCUUCAUGCAAUAAUCUUCCUAAAUUUAGUAUUCUCAACAAUGAUAUAUGAUACCUUCUUAUGAGAGAUUUUAAUGUUUGUAGGAUUUGCUAAAUUCAUAAUACAGUUAUUACAUUUCUUUAAAAUUUAUAAUGUUUGUAUUCUGGUUUCAUAGCCAUUUGUCAAUCCACAGUGGUCAUUAUGGUUUUAAAAUAAACUGUGUAAUAGUUCUUACACCUUGUUGGAGCUGCUACAAAAGAAAGGUGGCCCUUCCCUGUUUCGUAGAUAACAGAUAAAAAAUUGAAAUCAGUCGAAAUGAUUAAGCUUUGUAAAUUCCAAGGCUAAAACCUUCUAGGGGCUUCCCAAUAUUUAGUCCUAAUUGAAUGCCCUCUCUUUAUUCCAUGACCUUAUUUUAUAACUUAAUUAUUUUGCAAUUGUAUAAACUAGUCAUUGAGUCCCAGUCCUGGAUCUUAGCGUAUUGACAUAAUGAGCGAUAUUCUCAGUGUGGACCUGUAAGGAGGUACUCUGGUGUGCCGUAUUGUGCUUUUUUAGCCUGUUUUCAGCCAUUGAUUAGCAUUUACCAGUGAGGGUCAUUUGGGCUCCGGUUAUUUAUGUAUUAAUAGCCUGUGAAUAUUGCAGUCCUUUUUAGAUUGUAUUGGUCUAAACAAGCAUUCUGCAGUGAACCUGUUAAGUUGUUCACAUGUAUAGACUAUUGAAAUGCCGUACUUGUACACAUCUGACUGUUGGCAUUUUGUACUUUUUUCUAAAUCCAAUAUUUCACAAUAAAAAACUUGUCAAAAGCUU